UACAGAGGUGGCAAGCGUUGUUCGGAUUUACUGGGCGUAAAGGGUCCGUAGGCGGUUUGGAAAGUUGAAUGUGAAAUCCCGCAGCUCAACUGCGGAACUGCAUUCAAAACUUCCAGACUAGAGUAUGAGAGGGGUUAAGGGAAGUUCCCGGUGUAAGGGUGAAAUCUGCAGAGAUCGGGAGGAACACCAACGGCGAAGGCAGCUCGCUGGGACGGUACUGACGCUGAGGCGCGAAAGCGUGGGGAGCGAACAGG
rnacentral:rRNA from 1 species